rnacentral:rRNA from 1 species
AGGGUUCGAUUCUGGCUCAGGAUGAACGCUAGCUACAGGCUUAACACAUGCAAGUCGAGGGGCAUCAGGGUGUAGCAAUACACCGCUGGCGACCGGCGCACGGGUGAGUAACGCGUAUCCAACCUGCCCACCACUUGGGGAUAACCUUGCGAAAGUAAGACUAAUACCCAAUGAUAUCUCUAGAAGACAUCUGAAAGAGAUUAAAGAUUUAUCGGUGAUGGAUGGGGAUGCGUCUGAUUAGCUUGUUGGCGGGGUAACGGCCCACCAAGGCAACGAUCAGUAGGGGUUCUGAGAGGAAGGUCCCCCACAUUGGAACUGAGACACGGUCCAA